rnacentral:lncRNA from 1 species
AAACCAGCUCACCAGAUGUCUAUAAAAACCCGGCUUUGGAACCUCAUGUAUUCAGACAGACAGAGAGAGAAAAACAGAUACAAUCUUGCUAGUCACUUAUUCUUUCACCUUUCUUGUAAGCAACUAUUCAGGAUUGGCCUGGAAUAACCCCUCCAAUCCGACAAAACCCGCCAAUCCGACAGGAUUAUCCGCAACCACUAGGGUUAGGGUAACAGAGCCAACAGAGCCCUGGCUAUGUUGACUAUGAAGGAUAGAAGAGAGCCGACAGAGCAAUCGCUUGUUACGAAUCAACCUGCAUGACGACGCUAGUCUAUACUACGACCAAAAAGGAAAGGUCACUUUGGAAUUACGAGCAUAUGAACCAUACGAUGACAAGACCAGUGGAAGGAUGUCAGGAUGAGACACUUCGGUAUGGGACACGCACCAAGUCACGUGGAGAUAUGAAUAAUAUACCAUUAUUCAUAACGAUAAGGAACACUACGAAACUACAGGAUAUCAUUGGAAGGAAUAUCGUAGUAU